GAUGAACGCUGGCGGCGUGCCUAAUACAUGCAAGUCGAGCGAACAGACGAGGAGCUUGCUCCUCUGACGUUAGCGGCGGACGGGUGAGUAACACGUGGAUAACCUACCUAUAAGACUGGGAUAACUUCGGGAAACCGGAGCUAAUACCGGAUAAUAUAUUGAACCGCAUGGUUCAAUAGUGAAAGACGGUUUUGCUGUCACUUAUAGAUGGAUCCGCGCCGCAUUAGCUAGUUGGUAAGGUAACGGCUUACCAAGGCAACGAUGCGUAGCCGACCUGAGAGGGUGAUCGGCCACACUGGAACUGAGACGCGGUCCAGACUCCUACGGGAGGCAGCAGUAGGGAAUCUUCCGCAAUGGGCGAAAGCCUGACGGAGCAACGCCGCGUGAGUGAUGAAGGUCCUCGGAUCGUAAAACUCUGUUAUUAGGGAAGAACAAAUGUGUAAGUAACUAUGCACGUCUUGACGGUACCUAAUCAGAAAGCCACGGCUAACUACGUG
rnacentral:rRNA from 1 species